CCGACCUAACCUGCUGCUGGCUGCCCAGUGCCCACACACAGACACGCACGCACGCACGCACACACACACACACACACAUAGGCGCGCGCGCAAUAACAUCACAAGUCCGUAGCCUACCUUCCGUGUGACAGCUGGAGGAGAGGAUGGUGCUUGAGGGUCUGAAGAGGUAUACAGACGAGGAGGCAUACAAAGACUUCACCCUCCCUACACCUCUGAUGAAUAUAACAGGAAACCUGUUCGAUCACCAUGCACUGCAAAAUCAUUCUGGCUAUGGAUACGGAGAACAUCAACACAUUUAACAUCAACAUACCAGAGGAUAUACCCAUUGGACGUGGGUCUCUGCUGGGAGUUUACCUCAUAUUUGGAUUUUUUUAUUCUGCUUUACCACUAAAAUCAUAAGAAACACUGACAACUAAAAUAUUGUGCUAUUGUUGUUAUUGUUUUGAUUGUUAAGUGUAUUAUUAUUAACAAUAAUAAUAAUAAUAGGGGAGGGGGUGUAGUUAAAAAAUGCACCCCAAAAGGUUCUUCGAGGAUCCGUUAAAAAAGGCAUUCUUUGAAGAACCCUUUUUUUUAAUGACUAAAUGUUGUUGUGGUCCUGUUGUGGACGCAAUUUAGUUUAUUUCGUUCCAACAAUCCUGUUUCUAAGCUCAAAAGACUGCACUCUCAGGAGAAUUUAACAAUAAGGGAGAUGGACCGGCUCCCUCGUGGGACUCCUCUGAAAACACAGCAUAUGGCCAGCUACUGAUGAUGUAAUACAAGCAGGCUGUCUACUGGAGGCAUUAGAGUGGCAAGGUUGCAUCUCUCCUGAGUCAUUAAAGGUGUGUAGUGUGUG